UACAGAGGGGGCAAGCGUUGUUCGGAAUUACUGGGCGUAAAGGGCGCGUAGGCGGCCUGUUAAGUCGAACGUGAAAUCCCCGGGCUCAACCCGGGAACUGCGUCCGAUACUGGCAGGCUUGAAUCCGGGAGAGGGAUGCGGAAUUCCAGGUGUAGCGGUGAAAUGCGUAGAUAUCUGGAGGAACACCGGUGGCGAAGGCGGCAUCCUGGACCGGUAUUGACGCUGAGGCGCGAAAGCCAGGGGAGGCAAACGGG
rnacentral:rRNA from 1 species